rnacentral:rRNA from 1 species
GAUGAACGCUGGCGGCGUGCCUAAUACAUGCAAGUCGAGCGAACCACUUCGGUGGUGAGCGGCGAACGGGUGAGUAACACGUAGGUGAUCUGCCCAUCAGACGGGGACAACGAUUGGAAACGAUCGCUAAUACCGGAUAGGACGAAAGUUUAAAGGUGCUCCUGGUACCGCUGAUGGAUGAGCCUGCGGCGCAUUAGCUAGUUGGUAGGGUAACGGCCUACCAAGGCGACGAUGCGUAGCCGACCUGAGAGGGUGAACGGCCACACUGGGACUGAGACACGGCCCAGACUCCUACGGGAGGCAGCAGUAGGGAAUCUUCGGAAAUGGGCGAAAGCCUGACCGAGCAACGCCGCGUGAAUGAUGAAGGCCUUCGGGUUGUAAAAUUCUGUUAUAAGGGAAGAACGACUUUAGUAGGAAAUGGCUAGAGUGUGACGGUACCUUAUGAGAAAGCCACGGCUAACUACGUGCCAGCAGCCGCCGCAG